rnacentral:rRNA from 1 species
UACGAGGGGGGCGAGCGUUACUCGGAAUUACUGGGCGUAAAGCGUGCGUAGGUGGUUUGUUAAGUCUGCUGUGAAAGCCCCGGGCUCAACCUGGGAAUGGCAGUGGAUACUGGCAAGCUAGAGUGCGGUAGAGGGUAGUGGAAUUCCCGGUGUAGCGGUGAAAUGCGUAGAGAUCGGGAGGAACACCAGUGGCGAAGGCGGCUACCUGGACCAGCACUGACACUGAGGCACGAAAGCGUGGGGAGCAAACAGG